rnacentral:lncRNA from 1 species
CAAGGGGACAAAAUGGGGUUUACAACUACCGGUUACUGGGUAGAAAACCAUAGAAAUAGGACUUACAACUACCGGUUACUGGGUAGAAGGCCAAAACAUCCGCUGGGGAGAGAAUGAACAACUACUGUUUAAUGAGCAAUUGAUCACCUGAACCACAAGGACGUGCAGGGGAAAUAACAAGCAAGGAGUCAGUCUAGGAACAAAC